UGAAACGAGAAUCAAAUGCCCAUCCACUAGGGCUGUAACGAUACAGAAACUCACGAUUCGGUUUGUAUCACGAUUUUUGACCCACGGUUCGAUACAUCCCACGAUUUUUUUAAAUUUAAAAAGCAUUUUAUUUAAACAACACUGAUAUACCAAUUAACUUUAUGUAACAUUUGAUAACAAAUAAUUUGGAACACUGAACAGAUUUGAACAGAAAGAAUACUAUUAAAGUAUAGCUAAAUUAAUAAAGAAAUAAACAAAGAUUGCAGUUGGAGGAUGCUUUUUGCUGCGGCAUUAGUCAAAUAUCCUUAUUAGCGCUUCUUAUUAGGCUAUGUGGCUUAAAUAAUGACAUAAUCAGGCCGUAUAGAAUGCAACAUGUUUAAUAGCCUAACUUUCAAUAGAUGGGGAAAACAUGAACGUCUUUAUCAUGAACGUCGCAAUAACGAGGCAUAGUGUUACGAGUAGCAUAAUGUGUGUGCGCGAGAUUGGCAGUGUGCGUAUGCGUGUGUGAGUGAGUGGACGAGCGAGGAGAGCGAGCGGUAGCGCGUGUGUCUAGUGAAGAAGCGAACGAGUCCGGUAGAAUAAAGUACCCAUCCUGUCAAUAAUCGGUGGCCGCUUCAUUCCGACCUAUAAGCAGACAAACUGCCAGUCAAAUCACACAAAACAAUAGAGACAGGAUCACAGAGGCAAUUUUCUUCGCGCUUGGCCCACUCUGGAUAAAUGUCGUUCAUAUCGCAUAUGAGGACCUUCGACGGCUGUGGAGAAAUGCAAUCCUCCGUAGCCACGGAGAGCAGUCAUCACAGAGAGGGCAUCUCGUCGCAUACUUAAGGCAUAGGAGGGGCGCUGUCAGCAGACUAUUAUUUAGACAAUUAUUAGCAAAUUUCAAUUGGACAUUUUGACCGGAGAGUUAGAAAGGGCAUAUCGCGCUUCUGCCUUCUCACACCGCGAGACAGGUUCGUGGCUUUGAGUGUCGCGAUUUCGGUUUCGAUACGCAAACUCACGAUUCGGUUUGUAUCACGAUUUUUGACCCAUGGUUCGAUACAUCCCAUGAUUUUUUUAAAUUUAAAAAGCGUUUUAUUUAAACAACACUGAUAUACCAAUUAACUUUAUGUAACAUUUGAUAACAAAUAAUUUGGAACACUGAACAGAUUUGAACAGAAAGAAUACUAUUAAAGUAUAGCUAAAUUAAUAAAGAAAUAAACAAAGAUUGCAGUUGGAGGAUGCUUUUUGCUGGUAGGCAAAAACCCUCAACUGUUUGGUUGGUUUAGUCAAAUAUCCUUAUUAGCGCUUCUUAUUAGGCUAUGUGGCUUAAAUAAUGACAUAAUCAGGCCGUAUAGAAUGCAACAUGUUUAAUCGCCUAACUUUCAAUAGAUGGGGAAAAACAUGAACGUCUUUAACAUGAACGUCGCAAUAACGAGGCAUAGUGUUACGAGUAGCAUAUGUGUGUGCGCGAGAUUGGCAGUGUGCGUAUGCGUGUGUGAGUGACGUCAGCGAGUGAGUGGACGAGCGAGGAGAGCGAGCGGUAGCGCGUGUGUCUAGUAGGGAUGGGCAAAAUGAUUAUUUUCCGGGAACUAGUUCUUUCAGUUCAGUUCACUAUAACGAUUCGUUUAUUUGAUUCGGUCGUUUUGAUUCGUUCGUUACGUCAGAUUA